rnacentral:rRNA from 2 species
UACGGAGGGUGCAAGCGUUAUCCGGAUUCACUGGGUUUAAAGGGUGUGUAGGCGGGUAUUUAAGUCAGUGGUGAAAUCUCCGAGCUCAACUCGGAAACUGCCAUUGAUACUAUUUAUCUUGAAUAUUGUUGAGGUAGGCGGAAUAUGUCAUGUAGCGGUGAAAUGCUUAGAUAUGACAUAGAACACCGAUUGCGAAGGCAGCUUGCUAAACAAUUAUUGACGCUGAGGCACGAAAGCGUGGGGAUCAAACAGG